rnacentral:rRNA from 1 species
CCUACGGUGUGCAGCAGUGAGGAAUAUUGGUCAAUGGGCGCGAGCCUGCACCAGCCAAGUAGCGUGAAGGAUGACUGCCCUACGGGUUGUAAACUUCUUUUAUAAAGGAAUAAAGUGAGGCCCGUGUGCCUUUUUGUAUGUACUUUAUUAAUAAGGAUCGGCUAACUCCGUGCCAGCAGCCGCGGUAAUACGGAGGAUCCGAGCGUUAUCCGGAUUUAUUGGGGUUAAAGGGAGCGUAGAUGGGUUGUUAAGUCAGUUGUUAAAGGUUGGGGCUCAACCGUAAAAUUGCAAUUGAUACUGGCAGCCUUGGGUACAGUUGAGGUAGGCGGAAUUCGUGGUGUAGCGGUGAAAUGCUUAGAUAUCACGAAGAACUCCGAUUGCGAAGGCAGCCUACGAAACUGCCACUGACAUUGAUGCUCGAAAGUGUGGGUAUCAAACAGGAUUAGAUACCCCGUAGUC